rnacentral:rRNA from 1 species
AAUUUAGAGAGUUUGAUCCUGGCUCAGGACGAACGCUGGCGGCGUGCCUAACACAUGCAAGUCGAACGGGAAUACACGAGAUACUGAGAUUAGCUUGCUAAAGGAAGUAACAUGUGUAUUUUAGUGGCGGACGGGUGAGUAACGCGUGAGCAACCUGCCUUACAGAGGGGGACAACAGUUGGAAACGACUGCUAAUACCGCAUAAC